GCUCACGUGGCGGAACUGGCAGACGCAUACGACUCAGGAUCGUAUGGGGUAACCCGUGGAGGUUCGAGUCCUCUCGUGAGCACCA
rnacentral:tRNA from 1 species